CAACAACUGAAAGGAGGUGGUCCAGUGUCUCAUUGUCUCCAACCGCGGUCGCAAGUCGUGACCUGGAGCCCGAAGAGCGAGGUCUCCGCCUAAGGCGUUGAGCGCCAAGGGUUUCGAGUCACUGGCUGCGAGAGCGGCUACGACGAUGGAGGGCCGCCCCGAGCGAUCGGGGCGGCCC
rnacentral:sRNA from 19 species